ACCGCCGCGGUAAUACGUAGGUGGCAAGCGUUGUCCGGAAUUAUUGGGCGUAAAGCGCGCGCAGGCGGUCUUUUAAGUCUGAUGUGAAAGCCCACGGCUCAACCGUGGAGGGUCAUUGGAAACUGGAGGACUUGAGUGCAGAAGAGGAGAGUGGAAUUCCACGUGUAGCGGUGAAAUGCGUAGAUAUGUGGAGGAACACCAGUGGCGAAGGCGGCUCUCUGGUCUGUAACUGACGCUGAGGCGCGAAAGCGUGGGGAGCAAACAGGAUUAGAUACCCUGGUAGUCCACGCCGUAAACGAUGAGUGCUAGGUGUUGGGGGGUUCCACCCUCAGUGCUGAAGUUAACACAUUAAGCACUCCGCCUGGGG
rnacentral:rRNA from 1 species